rnacentral:rRNA from 1 species
AUUGAACGCUGGCGGCAGGCCUAACACAUGCAAGUCGACCGAGUGGCGGACGGGUGAGUAAUGUCUGGGAAACUGCCUGAUGGAGGGGGAUAACUACUGGAAUCGGUCGCUAAUACCGCAUACCAUCAGAUGUGCCCAGAUGGGAUUAGCUUGUUGGUGGGGUAACGGCUCACCAAGGCGACGAUCCCUAGCUGGUCUGAGAGGAUAACCAGCAAAAAGGGAACGAGUACACGGGCCAGAUCCCUACGGUAGGCAGCAGUGGGGAAUAUUGCACAAUGUGCGCAAGCCUGAUGCAGCCAUGCCGCGGGUAUGAAGAAGGCCGUCGGGUUGUAAAGUACUGUCAGCGGGGAGGCGUUACUCGCAGAAGAAGCACCGGCUAACUCCGUGCCAGCCGCCGCGGUAAUUC